UGUGGUUGCGAUGAGGAUUUAAACUCCCUCUUCUGAUUAUGGUUAAGGAAAUUUAUUAGUAGAAUCGAACCAAAUAAUAAUAUUGCCACCACUGAAUUA